rnacentral:rRNA from 1 species
UACGUAGGGUGCAAGCGUUGUCCGGAAUUAUUGGGCGUAAAGAGCUCGUAGGCGGUCUGUCGCGUCGGCUGUGAAAUCCCGAGGCUCAACCUCGGGUCUGCAGUCGAUACGGGCAAACUGGAGUACUGCAGGGGAGACUGGAAUUCCUGGUGUAGCGGUGAAAUGCGCAGAUAUCAGGAGGAACACCGGUGGCGAAGGCGGGUCUCUGGGCAGUAACUGACGCUGAGGAGCGAAAAGCGUGGGGAGCGAACAGG